rnacentral:rRNA from 9 species
AGUCAUAUGCUUGUCUCAAAGAUUAAGCCAUGCAUGUCUCAGUACAAGCCGAAUUAAGGUGAAACCGCGAAAGGCUCAUUAAAUCAGUUAUGGUUCCUUAGAUCGUACCCACAUUUACUUGGAUAACUGUGGUAAUUCUAGAGCUAAUACAUGCAAACAGAGCUCCGACCGGAGACGGAAGGAGCGCUUUUAUUAGAUCAAAACCAAUCGGCGGCGGGCUCGCUCGUCGUCGUACACCUUGGUGAAUCUGAAUAACUUACUGCUGAUCGCAUGGUCUCGCACCGGCGACGCAUCUUUCAAAUGUCUGCCUUAUCAACUGUCGAUGGUAGGUUCUGCGCCUACCAUGGUUGUAACGGGUAACGGGGAAUCAGGGUUCGAUUCCGGAGAGGGAGCCUGAGAAACGGCUACCACAUCCAAGGAAGGCAGCAGGCGCGCAAAUUACCCACUCCCGGCACGGGGAGGUAGUGACGAAAAAUAACGAUACGGGACUCAUCCGAGGCCCCGUAAUCGGAAUGAGUACACUCUAAACCCUUUAACGAGGACCAAUUGGAGGGCAAGUCUGGUGCCAGCAGCCGCGGUAAUUCCAGCUCCAAUAGCGUAU